AAGGAGCCACUAUUUCAACGUAACACUUUGGGAACCUCAUCUUUCUUUAGUUGGGUUUGAAGUACGUAAUGGAACUGUAAUAGAUAGGAGUGUAAUAGAAGUACGUAACACAGGAUUUCUUAAAAAGGAUGGAUGUUUUGGAUCAGGGUUGAAUUGCACUAUAUAGUAAUUGUGCUGGUACUUUACUACUUUGUGUAAUGCCAGACUUGCUAUUAUGAGGGCAGUAUAUCAGAACCCUUCCAUCUUGAUUUUGGAUGAGCAACUUCUGCUUUGGAUAGCAGAUCUGAGCAAUUGGUGAGACAGGCAGUGCAACGCUUGAUGGAAGAUCGUACUGUUAGGACAAUCGACUAAUUAUUUUUUUUGCGUCUUUCGCUCUUUUCAAUGUCUUGAAAGGAACUAACAUUUUUUUGUUGUACUUCUUGAAAUACUACUGUGGUGAUAUGUGCCAUAUCAUGGGUUCGAGCUGAGGUUUAGCUGCUUAGUCUAGAAGAAAUUUAAGAGAAGCUUCAAAACAGUCGUAGAUUCGGUAUGUUUCAUCUCCGAAAUUGAAUUGAAUUGAACUGACUGUCAUUCCUUUUUUAUGCUUCAAGAACUGUCAAAAUUGAAUUCAACAGUUUUGUAUGCUUCAAGAAACUAAGUUAUAGUAUGUUUCCGAGCAGUGCCUUUUACCAAUAAGAAGUUAUAGUACGUUUUUGGGCCAAAGUUCAAGCGGUAGUCUUCGGGCAAAAGUUUUCAGUCAGUUAAGAAACAAACCGGAUGUUCCUUGAUUUAUUGCACCAAGGUGUUUGUAAGAAUGCCUCAUCGAAAGUGUUCAUUGAUCUUAUUCCUUUUAGUUGCUACUACUACUGAUGUUGGUAGGGUUAUUCAUCCAAGGUGUAGCUGCGUAGUCAUGGCAGGGAAAUAUAUAGUAGUAGUAAGAACUUGCUCUGUAAAACAAGUGGGUCAAUCUAAGAGAAGCUUAUGCCAUAGCUGAUUUAGGCUAGAAGAAAUUUAAGAGAAGCUUCAAAACAUAUAACACAAAAUACCCAAGUGACCGUGACCUCACUUAACAAGUGGGUCAAUCUAAUGGUUAUGAGGCUUAGUGUAAGCAUAAGGAAAGCUCUACAAUCUAGGGUAAAGGAAAAGAAGCCUAUGUGUGAAUUUUCUUAUUUCUAGGCAUUUAAAGCCUAGCCAUUUGCAAACCACUUGAUAAGUGAUAUAGCCUUCUGUCCAAAAAAUUUUCCCAAUCUUGGUUUGUGAUAUUUUUUUUUGGUUUGUCUUUUCCCUUGCAUUAGGCAAUGACUAGCAAAGAAAAGCCAAAACGUGUUAGCAAUGGAGACAAAGAUUCACGGAUAUCACCCUUUGACGUAUCUUCUAUCUUUUUUAUUUUGAAAAGAAAAAUUGAUAGUCAAUUAGCUAAACGACAUUCUAAUUUCUUAAAGUUGCUUAUACACAUAUUUUAGGAACAAUCCGGUAAAGAGAUAUCAAAAGAAACACUUGCGCAACGUGCCUGAUGAGAAUGAGAACGAAUUUUUAAGCAAACCACCGAAAGGCGAUUGGAACAACACUCACCGAUAAAUACAAGUAUUCAACCUCUCCGAGACGGUAAUAUUAGAGCCGAUGGGCAAGACCACCAUACUGCACAUGUUCCCGAGGAGAUACAAAGAAUAGGGGCAAUGACUAGUAAACAGAAGGCAACCUAAUUAG